AAGGCGGGGCCGGAGAGGAGAGAGGAAGAGGAAGGAACGCGCCUGGCGUCACUGAGGGUGUCACCCGGGACCGCGGCUCAGGAACCCCAGACGCACGGGCCUUGUGCUGUCGCUGCCGUGGCACCCCUUCUAGAAGAAAAUCUAGGUAUCUUGCACCAAGAAGUGGAAAAUAAAGAAGAGAAAUGAGAACCAUGUUUGUAUUGGCUGUCUAUAAAAUAAGAGGGAGAAGUUAAGUGAAGUUUUCCAACCCACAGCUGGCAGGUAAAACUAAAUUCACAGAAAUUAAAUCCCUCCACUGAUGAAAAAGGCACCAGGCUGUAAAAAGAAGAUUAAUCUAGCAAUCAAAUACCUCGAUGAAUGUGCAGAGUGGCUUGGAAGUGAGCAGUAGUUAAAAACAAAUGUAACAAAAUAUAAGAUGGAAUACUUUACAUCACAGUUUUGGCUGAGGCUCCAAAGACUGAGAAUAAAUCAGUAUCUGCCCAGUCACCACGGUGUGCCAAAGGAGGUGCUGGAUUGCCUCGUCAGGACAUGCUACAUGGAUGGAGAGAAGAUUCCUUGGGGAGAUUUGGUGUGUGCAUAACCAGUCCUUCCAGCACUGGAGAAAGGAGGAGUCCUGCACAGGUUGUACACGAUUCUUUCCACCUGGAAACUUGAAACAUGUGCCCUGGAGUUGAGGAUGCUUGGU
rnacentral:lncRNA from 1 species